rnacentral:rRNA from 1 species
UAGUCCACGCCGUAAACGAUGAUCACUAAGUGUUCGGCCUUCGGGCCGAGUGCUCAAGCGAAAGCGAUAAGUGAUCCACCUGGGGAGUACGUUCGCAAGAAUGAAACUCAGAGGAAUUGACGGGGGCCCGCACAAGCGGUGGAGCAUGUGGUUUAAUUCGAUGAUACGCGAGGAACCUUACCUGGGCUACAAUGCCUCUGCCAGGCUCCGAAAGGAGUUGUUCCUUCGGGACAGAGUGCAAGGUGCUGCAUGGUUGUCGUCAGCUCGUGCCGUGAGGUGUUGGGUUAAGUCCCGCAACGAGCGCAACCCUUAUUCUUAGUUGCCAGCACAUAAUGGUGGGGACUCUAGGAAGACUGCCGGCGUAAGCCGUGAGGAAGGUGGGGACGACGUCAAAUCAUCAUGGCCUUUAUGCCUAGGGCUACACACGUGCUACAAUGGUGCAUACAGCGGGUAGCGAAGUCGCGAGGCGGAGCUAAUCUUGUAAAGUGCAUCCC